rnacentral:lncRNA from 1 species
ACCACCAACAGAAAACUGACAAUUUGGAAAAGCUGCUAAGGCCACAAUGGUUCAGCGCAAAAGGCGAAUUCGGGAAUAGUGUGCGCGGGACAGAGAGACCGACAGCAGGUUGAAGCAGAUUGAGGAGGGAUACCGGCACAUGCUUGCCAAGUCUUCAGAGGAUGGCUGCGGUGUCCAGAGGGUGCAGUACUCCACUGAGGAUAGAAGUGGAGAAACCAAUGCUGGAUGCACACACUACCCCCCAGGAGGACAGAACAAGACACCCUGUAUCAGCCAUGAUGAUCACCCAGGACUGCGCUUGGGGAGCAGGAGCUGUGACACCACAUGAGCUGCUGUUUCGCAUCAGCAGUUCCACAUCGCUGCCCAGGGGUCAAGCACUGUCCAACCUUUCCAGACGUCUCAGCUCCUGUUCAACAGGUCAAGCCCAACCAAGAUGGAGCAGCCAAGCUGAGAGGCCAGGAAUAGAAGGUGACCUGGUCUGCACCUGGACCACAUGGAAGGAUGGUAAACUCCUAAACAACAGACAUGUCGUGGGAGUUCUGCCAGGAUUGCUUCAGCCCCGGAUGAAAGAGGACCACACGGCUCGACGGGGCACUCGUCCCAGUCCUGCCCGGGCUCGCCCAUGCAGAAACGGUCAGCGAAGCCAGAACCGCUCCUGA